rnacentral:tRNA from 1 species
UGCGGGGUAGUGAAGUAGUAAAACGUAGGCCUCAUAAGCCUAAAUCCUGGGUGCAAAUCCCAGCCCCGCUACCA